GACGAAGGGGGCAAGCGUUGUUCGGAAUUACUGGGCGUAAAGGGCUCGUAGGCGGCCAACUAAGUCGGACGUGAAAUCCCCAGGCUCAACCUGGGAACUGCGUCCGAUACUGGAUGGCUUGAAUCCGGGAGAGGGAUGCAGAAUUCCAGGUGUAGCGGUGAAAUGCGUAGAGAUCGGGAGGAACACCCGUGGCGAAGGCGGCCUGCUGGGCCGAUCCUGACGCUGAGGCGCGAAGGCGUGGGGAGCGAACGGG
rnacentral:rRNA from 1 species